ensembl:snRNA U6 U6 spliceosomal RNA
GUGCUCACUUUGGCAGCGCAUAUACUAAAAGUGGAAUGCUACUGAGAUUAACAUGGCCCCUGUGUAAGGAUGACACAAAUUCACAAAGCUUUCCAUCUUUUU